GUGGCUGAGAAGUUAAGCGCUUGGCUUCUAAACCAAGCGGUCCCUGGUUCGAAUCCUGGC
rnacentral:tRNA from 1 species